CUCCGGCGGGUAAGGGAAGAGUGGAGAGUGAAGAAGAGUAAUGGAUGUGUGGGUGAGUUGAUAACGUAAUCGGCAAUCCACAACGAAGGAUAGGAUUGGCGGUAACGUGGCUCUUUACGAAUCCAGCUAUGCCCAAAGGCCGACUACUCGACCACCACAAUAAAACGUAGCACACCCCUAAUGCUUGAGAACCCCGUGAAAUGGGUAAACCCUCGCCCCCCGUUAGACUCGAACCCAGGAUAAAUCCCAAGCCGAGCCUUCACCCGGAUGUCUCACCCUGCAGCAGCCAGGGAUCGAACCGACACCUCCAAUGGAGACAACCAGCCGACCCACCAGCUGAGCUAGAGAUUGUUGACAAAACGUUUAAGUUAUGCAAGCACAAUAGCAAAUCCUCUCUCUCUGAUGGAUGUCGCUUGAGUGCUCGACGUUGAAGGUAAAUCCUGAUUAGAGUGCAAGGUUCCGUCGAUUUGCCUCUGGUACAAUCUGGACUCAACCUUUCAUACUAAUCAGAUUUUCCGAUUCCAUUCGCC